GUUGAAACACAGGUUCCAUUAAGAUCAACGAAGUUAAGCAACGUCGAGCCUGGUCAGUACCUAGAUGGGUGACCGCUUGAGGACACCAGGUGCU